CCCAGAAGUCGUAACAGAGAUAUGAAUCAAAACCCAGAUGAGAGAAACUCGCAGAAAGAAAAGGGUGAAGGAAUAACAAACCUCGCAGGCUGCAGUGACUAAUUGAUUGAGGAAAAAACGAAGAAAAGAAAAAUACCCAGAAGUCGUACCAGAGAUAUGAAUCAAAACCCAGAUGAGAGAAACUCAUAGAAAGAGUAAAGAUUGCAAAUUUCAGAGGUUAAUAAGCAAGUUCAGCUUUUAGCUGUAAAACAGAGGAAGCCGAAGAGGAGUCAAAGAGGAAAUAAAGAGUGUUUUGCCAGUCCUCAGCCGCUGUGCAGAUUUGCCUAGUUAUCCAUGAUCCGUUUAAUAUCAGGCGGCUAAGGUUCUUCGCCAUGUUGAUCGGAUUCAUGGGACGCUCUGCAAUUUGCUUGAAUAGAAGGGUUUCUGCUAGGGCUUUUGCGGUACUACUGGAAUUGAACUCAACCAAACGCAAAAAGUAACACAAAUUGCAAAAGCGGUAGUACCUCUGCUCUCAAGAGAUCAGUCCACGGUUUUCGGCGAAACUCAGCAAAUCGACGGAAAAAGUAACACAAAUUGCCAAAAGUGGUAGUACCUCUGCUCUCAAGAGAUCAGUCCACGGUCUUCGGCGAAACUCAGCAAAUCGAC
rnacentral:lncRNA from 1 species